rnacentral:rRNA from 1 species
GACGAACGCUGGCGGCAUGCUUAACACAUGCAAGUCGAACGGAAAGGCCCUGCUUUUGUGCGCUGCUGUAGUGGCGAAGGGGUGAGUAACACGUGAGUAACCUGCCCUUCACUGUGGGAUAACUUCAGAAAACUUGGUCUAAUACCGGAUAGGAUCUCCCGCUGUAUGGUGGGCGUUGGAAAGUUUCGGCGGUUGGUGUUGGACUGGCGGCUUAUGAGCUUGUUGGUGGGGUAGUGGCUUACCAUGGCCUUGACCGGUAGCCGGCCGGGGAGGGUGAACGGCCACACAGGGACGGAGUUAGGGCCCAGCCAGAUACGGGAGGCAGGAGUGGGGAGUGUUGAACAGUGGACGGAAGCCUGAUGGAGCAACGCCGCGUGCGGGAUGGCGGCAUUCGGGUUGGAAGCCGCUUUCGCCUGUGACGAAGCGUGAGUAACGGUAAUGGAGAAUGAAGCACCGCCUAACUACUU